UUCUUAGACGAUCCUGUACCUGUCGUGCUUUCUUUUCUCUUUUUAAGAUCGCCAUUUGUUAGAGAAUCAGGGACUGCAUUGCUGUAAUGAACAACAUUCGUGACGAUAGCAUAGCUUUUGGAAAAUGAUAUCCUUGUCAAAGUUGAAGCAGUCAGUUGAUGUCUGUAACAAUGUAAUUUCAGUGCUUCUCAGCAGGAUCCAUCUCCUUUGGAGGUAAGGCAUCCUGCUCAUACAUCGGCAUAGAGAUAUACUCAGAGGGGAAGACAAAUAUGCAGACACAUAAACAAGUAAAUGUUUUUCCAGUCCUUAAACUAGCAUAAAAUCUUUCAAUUUCUACUUUUCAGUGAAUGCGCAUAGAAAUUUGUACUUUCUCUAUCAUAUUACUAUAUUGUUGUACAAUUGGGAUUCAAUGGUGAACAAUGUUGUAAGUUGUACCUCCCAGUCAAGGACUGUAUCCUUAAGUCUUGUCCCACA